UACGUAGGGUGCGAGCGUGUCCGGAAUUAUUGGGCGUAAAGGGCUCGUAGGCGGUCUGUCACGUCGGGAGUGAAAACUCAGGGCUUAACCCUGAGCCUGCUUCCGAUACGGGCAGACUAGAGGUAUGCAGGGGAGAACGGAAUUCCUGGUGUAGCGGUGAAAUGCGCAGAUAUCAGGAGGAACACCGGUGGCGAAGGCGGGUCUCUGGGCCGAUACUGACGCUGAGGAGCGAAAGCGUGGGGAGCGAACAGG
rnacentral:rRNA from 1 species